rnacentral:rRNA from 1 species
CAGGAUAAACCAAUUGUGGGGAAUACUCGUUCCUGCCAAUGUGAAUGUCCUGCCUUAGUGAGACUGCUACGGUCAAAGGAUAAUGGGUGGUAUAUAACAGAGCACUGGGACGAGCACAACCACUCAUUGUCUCCGACAUAUGGGCAGACAUUAUACUGGCCAUCUCACAAACAUAUCAACGUAUACAGCGAGAUUUUGGUGAAGCAGCUGAGGGGAAAUAAUGUGAACCUGUCGAAAGUAUACAACAUCAUAGGGAGCUUUUUUGGGAAGAUGGAGAAUGUACCGUUCACGAAACGAGCUUUGCGGAACUUGUGUGGGAAAAUUGGCCGUGACAAGGCAGAGGAUGAUGUUCGGAAGACAAUGGAGGUAUUUCAAGAGCUAGGUGCUAAGGAUCAGCAAUUCUCACAUUCUCACAUUUAUCGUGUUAUCAGACAAUUAUUGGUACAGAGCAUUCAUACUUCCCAUGUGUUUCGUAUGUACAAAUAG